rnacentral:pre_miRNA from 1 species
UGAGGUAGAAUGUUGGAUGACUAAGGUAAAGGUAACAUAUCAGAGCUGUUCAAUUUUCUGCCUUUAA